GACGGAGACAAGGGCGAGACAGGAGGACCAGGCCAGAAGGGCAGUAAAGGAGACAAAGGAGAAUCUGGCCCUUCAGGACCUAUUGGAAUCCAGGGACCUGUCGGCYAUCCAGGGUUACCRGUACGUCUAUUCAAUGUAUCUGUCUUUAUUGUGUGUCUGUGUGAACUGCAUGUGUGUACAGCACUGACCYCUGUGUGUGUUUCAG